GCACCUGUAGAUCAUUCGCGGAAAGCAGGAGAUACUACUUGCAUAGACGGGGGAGAAACACAACAGUCCCCUGGACAUAGACAUGCUGCUUCCACUGCUGCUCCUCACUGCCGGACUCCUGCUCCCCCACCAGCCUGCAGCCUCUCUCAAGUUAACAUUUGAACCAUAUUAUGAAGUUGUAUUCCCAAAGAAGAUUGAUACUCAGUACAAGAGGGAUGUUCAGGGCAAGUAUCCUGAUGUGCUGCAGUAUGGCCUUCACCUAGGAGGGAAGCACCUGGUCUUACACCUAGAGAAGAAUGAAGACCUGCUGUCUGCAAAUUACACUGAGACUUAUUACCUGCCGGAUGGGACACCAGUAACAACCAGCCCUAAAAUCCAGCAUCACUGCUAUUAUCAAGGAAAUGUGAAGAAUGAUAACGGGUCGCUGCUGAGCCUUAGUACAUGCAGUGGGUUAAGUGGGCUCAUCCAGACGGAAGGCCAAAUGUAUCUAAUUGAGCCUCUGAAGGAAACUGACAGCGAGGCACAUGCUGUUUAUGAAGCCCAGAUGGAGAUACCCAAAACUUGUGGAGUGGACAACACAACAUAUAGAAAGGAAAUUGUUGUCAAGAAAUCUCGUUCCGGCACCUCUGCUGAACAACAGAAAAUUCUGAAGGCUCAGAAGUACGUCCACUUGUAUGUUGUUGCAGAUAAUUCAAUGUUUGUUAAGUACAACCGCAGUAUCCCUAUAGUGAAGACAAGAAUCUAUGAAAUAAUAAAUUUUGUCAAUGUGGUGUAUAAGGCCAUAAACACCUUUGUUGCACUGACCGGGAUAGAGGUUUGGAAUGUGAGCGAUCAGUUUAAAGUUGUGACGUCAGCCGCUCAGAAUCUGGGUGCUUUCUCAGAUUGGAGGAAGAACGUCCUUCUGAGUAGGAAUCCAAAUGACAAUGCUCAGUUUCUGACAAAUACCGAUUUUGAUGGUGCUACAGUUGGACUGGCGUUUGUGGCCUCAAUGUGCACUGAUUCCCAAUCUGCUGGAGUAAAUCAGGAUCACAGCGAACCUUCCAUUGCCAUUGGUGCUACAGUUGCUCAUGAGAUGGGGCACAACUUGGGAAUGAACCAUGAUUCCAACUCUUGUUCUUGCGGUGCCAACUCCUGCAUUAUGGCACCAGACCUCAGUAAUAACAUGCCUCGCUUGUUCAGUAAAUGCAGUUUACAGAACUACCAGGAUUUUCUCUUUAGCCAAAUGUCACAGUGUAUUCUGAUUGUGCCGCCGAAAGAAGAUAUUAUAGCACCGGCAGUGUGCGGGAAUAAGUUCACUGAGAUUGGGGAAGAUUGCGAUUGUGGCACAGUGGAGGAAUGCACCAAUCCGUGCUGUGACGCCGCCACUUGCAAACUCAUGCCAACUGCAAAGUGUGCCGAGGGUGAAUGCUGUGAUAACUGUCAGAUUAAGAAACCUGGAGAUGUGUGCAGAGCCGCCAAGGAUGACUGUGACCUGGCAGAUUUUUGUGACGGGAUGUCCCCUGUGUGUCCCUCCGACCGCUUCAGUGUCAAUGGCUCCCCCUGCAAGAAUGGGCAGGGCUACUGCUUUAAUGGGAGGUGUCCAACGCACCAGAGCCAGUUCACAACACUGUGGAGUGUCAAGAACCCUAAUAUAUCUACUGAUAUUGUUAUUAUCAUUUUGGUGAUCAUCAUUGCUAUUGCCCUUGUCAUUGGACUUGUGUUUCUGGUAAUAUUCUGCAGGAGAAAGGGGAAGAAGCAGAGGACGAGCCUGCUACAGACAAGUCUUGACCAUCCAGCCGAGUUGGUUACCAGGCGCGUCAGUAUUCUGUGAAACCAACUGUCACCUUCUGCUAAACCAGCGCCUCCUUCUCGCCACCAAAGGCGCUGAAGCCCCCAGUGAGGAAUUAAGAUGGACAAUGCCACAAAAGAGAUUGUGGGUAUUAACCUACUGCUCAGCGGUUUAGACCAUGAAGAGUCAGCAUGCACCUCUCUAGCUGUGGCUAAGUCACUGAACAUCUCUGAACAGUGUUUUGGGAGUACUGGUACUGUGGUGUGAGCCUGUAGAGAAGGAUUGUGCUUUUAUUUGUUUUACUAUUUGGUGUUGGGUAAGAAUCUUUGUACCUGAGACGCUCAGACUUGACUGAUCUAUAGUUUAUAUACGUCAUUAUCAGGUGCCGCCAUUUCUGUUGCUGCUGUGGCCUCCUCCCAUGUGGCUGGGUGAGGAACCAAAUAUAUUUUAAAUGAUCUUUGUGUGAUAUUCUGAUAUUGUCUUUUUAAUUUUUAAUUCUAAUACUGUAUAUUUACUUUAUACUGCUGAAUGAAUACACUUAGGUUAAUGGAGUGUUUUGAUCGCAGAGAAAGGAAGCAGUCAAAACACCCCAUUCAUAUUGAAUAUUAGUAGUGGUGGCAUGUGGAAAGAGGUAUUUAGUUGGCCUUUAACCACCAAUGUUUCCACUGGAUGGCAGCAGCAGACCAUAGAUCUGCACUCAGAAUCCUUGAAAGCAGUGCACCUUGGGAGAAAAUUGUCAUUCUAUUGCUCAAGGGACCACAGUACAGCAUGAGUCACUACAUGUCCACCUAUCUCUUUCGUGCAGAAAGGAAUUCUCAGGACAUUAUGGGUAUCUGCCAUUUCUUAUUGUCUCUUUUUCUAUGGUUCUAGAAAGAGAACCAUUUCCUUCCACUUUCUGUACUGUAAAUACAUAUAUAAAUAGUUUAUGUCAAUAGAGGAUAGUGUAGGGAAGUGUGAGAAUGAGCGAGAGCUGGGUAUUGAGGGGCGUGCGUGAGCUAUCUAUUGUUGUGUGCCAUGUGGUUAGUCCUUUACAAUCCUGUUGUUUGUCAUCCCAUUAGUUCCAAUUUUAGUACCAGUUAGAUUCACUGUAAAUCCAGUGCCAACGACUGCAGAAAUCAGACUUUAGAUAUUUUUAUUACAUGUGCACCUUUAUGCCAAAGGCUCCUUUUACUGUUUUGUAAAACGUUUUAUAUUUUAUACACUGUAACUUUCAAUAAACUCUCGUUUUAUCAAG